rnacentral:rRNA from 1 species
GAUGAACGCUGGCGGCGUGCCUAAUACAUGCAAGUCGAGCGAACAGACGCGGAGCUUGCUCCUCUGACGUUAGCGGCGGACGUGUGAGUAACACGUGUAUAACCUACCUAUAAGACUGGUAUAACCUCGGGAAACCGGAGCUAAUACCGGAGAAUAUCUUGAUCCGCAUUGUUCAAUAGUGAAAGACGGCUUUGCUGUCACUUAUCGAUGGAUCUGCGCCGGAUUGGGUAGUAGGUGAGGUAACGGCGUACCAAGGCGACGAUGCGUAGCAGCCCUGAGAGGAUGAGCAGCCGCACUGAAAGGGGGACAGGCUCCAGAGGCAUACGGAAGGGGGCAGGAGGGAAUCUUGCGGAAUGAGCGAGGGCCUGUGGAAAAUGCGCCGCAGGAGGAAUGAACAACGUCGGGUCGUGAAUCUCUGUUAUUAGGGAAGAACAAAUUUGUGAGUAUCAAUGAGCGUGUGGACGGUACCUAAGUAGAAAGCCACGGGUAAAUACGGUC